ACAUGCUAUCAGUUUGAGUCAUGCAUGAAACAUCAAUUGUCACGUAGGAAGACUCCCUGGGAGGGAUGACCAGACCUGAGUUACUACAAUACUGACAGCCCACCAACUCUUCUGACUAGAGGAAGUAGCCUCUCGAAAUGCAAGAUACUAAGCUGAUGAAAAUAGAACAACAGUACCCACGUUAAUCUCCUGGCAAGAGGUCAAACACAUGUUAUAUAGACAGAAGUUAUUCAAGU